AAUUACCUGCCCCUUUACCUCCUUUACUGACUCUCUCCUCAUCUAUAGUUUUCUCUCUCCUUUCACUCUCUCUCCUCACCUUCACUGAUAAUCCGGCACCACUGUUAUUGUCCACCGUCCUCCAUCGGCGCUGCCCUUCGAAGUUACCUUGCUUGCUCAUGUUCUCUCCUCUUCAAAGAUCUAACCAUUACAAUUGAAGUCGUUGCUUGUUCCUACCUCCGCGGACUAUAUGUCGAAGGGAUUUGAAUUCUCCAGUUCCAACCACCGCCAACCAUCGCUCCAGCCAACGAUGCUCGUCAAGCCGCCUAACUAGCGUCUCCUCUUCUGUUCAAAGGGUUCUUCGUAUUUGUUGGAGAUGAAUCAAAUAGUUGGAUAGGCGUGAAAGGUGUGGUUGUCAAAGCCCCAAAGAGAUGACAACUAAGGGUAAGAAAUAUGGAAAAGGGAAAAGUGCAAUAAAAAGGGAGAAACUUUCAGCUAAGAAUGUUGCAUCUAAGAAGGAUGUCGCUACACAGGACUCUGGACCACGACAUCCUGGUAAGCGAGGUUUGCUAGCCUCCGAGAGAAGGAAGCGUUCACGGGCGACUAUUGUGAAAGGACAUUUGCAAGCUUUUGUUUUUGUAUUUUGUCGAAUGGCCAUUUCCAAAUCUUUGCAGGCAUUAUUAUAUCAGCCACCACGUUUGCAUUUAAAGUAAAUACGUAAGGGGCCUCCACCAUUUUUCUUAUGGGAUGUUGUAAUAAUUUCAAAACCUUGUUGAAUUGCAAUAUCUUUAGUCCAUUCAAAAGCCGCAUUUCGAGUAGCAAAA